rfam:Schistosoma curassoni strain Dakar, Senegal genome assembly, scaffold: SCTD_scaffold0013041
AUCGGGCUGACGAGUCCCAAAUAGGACAAAUCGCGCGUCCUGGAU